AGCGAACGCUGGCGGCAGGCUUAACACAUGCAAGUCGAACGGGCAUAGCAAUAUGUCAGUGGCAGACGGGUGAGUAACGCGGGGGAACGUACCUUUUGGUUCGGAACAACACAGGGAAACUUGUGCUAAUACCGGAUAAGCCCUUACGGGGAAAGAUUUAUCGCCGCAAGAUCGGCCCGCGUCUGAUGAGCUAGUUGGUAGGGUAAUGGCCUACCAAGGCGACGAUCAGUAGCUGGUCUGAGAGGAUGAUCAGCCACAUUGGGGCUGAGACACGGCCCGAACUCCUCCGCGAGGCAGCAGUGGGGAAUAUUGCAACGUGGCCGAAAUCCUGAUCCACCCAUGCCGCGUGAGUGAUGUAGGCCCUAGGGUUGUAAAGCUCUUUUGUGCGUGAAGAUAAUGACGGUACCGAAAGAAUAAGCCCCGGCUAACUUCGUG
rnacentral:rRNA from 1 species